UAACUACUCCCUCCGUCCAGAAAUACUUGUCCUAGGAAUGGUUGUAUCUAGACUUAUUUUAGUUAUAGAUACAUCCAUUUUAUUAAUUUAUAGGACAAGUAACGGAGGGAGUAACAG
rnacentral:pre_miRNA from 1 species